rnacentral:snRNA from 1 species
AUCUUUGUGCAGUGGAAGUAUCGUAGCCAAUGAAGUUUAACCGAGGCAUGAUUGUUGUUAAUUAAAAG